CGUGGUCCAGAGGUCCAAGCAGGGCCGUGUCCAGAGUCCUGGCCUGCGGCCCUGGAAGGAAGCGAGACCUGGGGGUGCUGGCUCCUCAGCUGCUCCGCGACCCUCCGCUCUGCUCCCAUGCGGACGCCGCCCCAGUCCAAGGGCCGGGAGACAGUGUCCAGUGAGCAGCGCAGCACUGCCCUUGCUCCCAGCUCACUCGCUCUGCCCGCUUCCUCCCCAUCGACAGCCAUCCCUGCCCGUCUGGUCUCCCACGCUCUCUCCUCCAAGGGUCUUCCUGCCUAGAGUCGUCAGGUCUAGACUUACCACUGGGAUCCUCCGAGGCCCCCAGUUCUGGACGGUCUCACUCUGGCCCAAUGGGAGCAGCAUCGUCCCCUGCACUUGGCCUUCCAGGACACACCCAACUGAAAUGAAAGUGACUUUCUUCACAGCUUGAGGAGCCUAUGUUUUGCUUCAGAACCAUUUAAUGCACUGCAGGAAAGGAAGUCCGUUUUUGCCAACCCCAAGACGCGGUGACACGCCAGCUUGGCCCCUCGCCUUCUUCGCUGAUGGCCUCAGAACGCCUCAGCACUUGUCCCAGUUUCCCAUUUGGAACCCAUUCCAGUAUUGCAACAAUCAGAGCCGUUUUCUUAGGACUUACUGUGUUCUGGACACUGCAGAAACGCCAGCUGGGUGAGGAGGCCGUGAGCAGAUGGUCUGAAGUAUGCCUCAAGACCCCGUCAUCUCCUUUGGUACCACAAGGAAAGGACUCCGUCCCUGCAGCCUGUGGAGAUGGAUGAGGACACUGGCCAGCAGCCCAGGAGGUAGCCACUAAAGAUGGGCAAAGUGACCGUGGGGCUGAGGGCCGCAGGUGACUGCCCAGGCUGCCUGGGCUGCCAACAGACCUCACUCGUAGCCUCUGGGGGUGGGGGGCUUGGCCCCGAAAGCAGGAAGGACGGUGUGACCAGCGCACCCAGCAGAAGGCCACUCCUGGAUCCAGGUGUCCCCUUGGCAGAACUAAGCGCUUCUAGAAAGACUGAGUUAGAGACCAAAAAAGACCAUUUUAAGUGGAAAGAUAUAAUUUUUAGUUGGUAAUGAAAAAAGAAUACUGUAGUGAUAAGUUAUCAGUGAUUAGUUACAGAGUUAAUAACAAACUCAUAUGUGCACAUCUGAGUUUUAACAUGUAAGUUUGGUCCUUUCUAUAAUCUGCCCAGAAAGCCAGGGCUCGGAGAGGUUCGUUGACAAGCCCCAGGCCACCCAGUGAGCAGAGCUUGUAGAGAAGACCCAGAAGGCAGCUGGGCACUGGGAGGGACCCAGGAUGAGGAGCUGGAACAGGUGAUGCCGGCCGCUGCGGUCAGCCUGGGAGCG